rnacentral:rRNA from 1 species
UACGUAGGUGGCAAGCGUUGUCCGGAUUUACUGGGCGUAAAGAGCGCGCAGGCGGUCGUGCAAGUCGCGUGUGAAAGCCCCCGGCUCAACUGGGGAGGGUCACGCGAUACUGCUCGACUCGAAGGCAGGAGAGGGAAGUGGAAUUCCCGGUGUAGUGGUGAAAUGCGUAGAUAUCGGGAGGAACGCCAGUGGCGAAGGCGACUUCCUGGCCUGUUCUUGACGCUGAGGCGCGAAAGCUAGGGUAGCAAACGGG